rfam:Xenorhabdus vietnamensis strain DSM 22392 Xvie_1, whole genome shotgun sequence.
UUCUAUGGCGGUUCAGGCAGGGGAGACUCACGUCUCGCCGGAGUAAGCGCCGGUCUGCUAACCCUGUCUGAAUCGCCACCAUC